rnacentral:rRNA from 1 species
CAGCCGCCGCGGUAAUACGUAGGGUGCAAGCGUUAAUCGGAAUUACUGGGCGUAAAGCGUGCGCAGGCGGUUAUAUAAGACAGAUGUGAAAUCCCCGGGCUCAACCUGGGAACUGCAUUUGUGACUGUAUAGCUAGAGUACGGCAGAGGGGGAUGGAAUUCCGCGUGUAGCAGUGAAAUGCGUAGAUAUGCGGAGGAACACCGAUGGCGAAGGCAAUCCCCUGGGCCUGUACUGACGCUCAUGCACGAAAGCGUGGGGAGCAAACAGGAUUAGAGACCCCUGUAGUCCCUGUCUCUUAUAA